GUUUUUGCGCUGCUGACGUUUCAGCCGUCUUCUUGCACGCUCCUUUUCUUCUUCCUCUUCCUGCUCCAGCUGUCGAAUGUGGUCCUCAAAGAUGAUCAACGCGUCCUCCUUGUCCAUGUCUGCGUAAAUGAGGGUCUUCAGCAAAGGUGGG
rnacentral:lncRNA from 1 species